rnacentral:rRNA from 1 species
UACAGAGGCCCCAAGCGUUAGGCGGAAUCACUGGGCGUAAAGGGUGCGUAGGCGGGUCUUUAAGUCAGGGGUGAAAUCCUGGAGCUCAACUCCAGAACUGCCUUUGAUACUGAGGAUCUUGAGUUCGGGAGAGGUGAGUGGAACUGCGAGUGUAGAGGUGAAAUUCGUAGAUAUUCGCAAGAACACCAGUGGCGAAGGCGGCCAACUGGUCCGGUACUGACGCUGAGGUGCGAAAGCGUGGGGAGCAAACAGG